AGAUGGUGAUGUACCUGCCGUCCAGGUAUAUGCCGUAAAGGGGAGCUUACUUUGGACAAAAAAUGCAGACUAACACCAUUGUUCCCAUGGCAAUGGAAUACCUGUUGCCAAUGGUUCCCAUGGUGGGUAACCAGCCGUAACUACGGUGGUGGAAUUGGCGGAAGUAUUGGCGGCGGUAUUGGUGGUGGCGGCGGUGGAGGAAUCAUCGGCGGUGGUGGCAUUAUCGGCGGUGGUGGCAUCAUCGGUGGUGGAAUCGGUGGUGGAGUAGGAGUAGGAAUCGGUGGUGGAUAUGGUGGCGGAUAUGGCGGUGGAAAAAAGUCAUAUUAAGCUAAAUGGACACCCAAAGAAAAUUACAGUAGAUGGAAUUUUCUUCAAUAAAAUUUAGUUUGCAUA